AGUCUCGAGGUGAAAAUUAAUCAUACUGGUUUGCAAAACCGGAGAAGUGGCGAGGGCCACCUGACUU
rnacentral:tRNA from 1 species